GCUAGGGCUGCUGCACCUCUGUUUCCCGCAGGUGGAAACAGAGGAGAGUAUGUGUGGGGCGUUGGGGAGGAGAGGAGAAGAGAAGAAGAAGAAGAAGAAGAAGAAGAAGGAGAAGAAGAAGAAGAAGAAGAGAGGAGGAUAGCUGCAGUAGGGCUGCAGCGAGGAGGUGUGUGGCGUUGGGGAGGAAAAGGGAAGAGGAGAAGAAGAGAAGGAGAAGAAGAGGGAAAAGAGAGGGAAGAGGGAGAGGAGCGAGAGGUGGCAGCAGCUAGGGCUGCAGCACCUCUGUUUCCUGCAGGUGGAAACAGAGGUGAGGUGUGGGGCGUUCGAAGAGGAGGGGAAGGAGAAGAGGAAGAGAAGAAGAAGAGGAAGCAGGAGAAGAGGUUGUGAUACCUCUGUUUCCUGCAGAGGAAACAGAGGAGAGGGUGUGUGUGACGCCGGGGAGGAGGGAAAAAGAAGAGGAGAAGAAGAGAAGGGGAAGGAGGAACUGCGGCUGCGGCGGUGGAAGCUGCAGCUGGAAGAGAAGGAGAGGAAGAGAUGGUGAGGAAGAAGAGAAGAAGUAGAAGCGGGAGAAGAGAUGGCACCUCUGUUUCCUGCAGGAGGAAACAGAGGAAAAGAGGUGCUGUUCAUCGGGGAGAAGAAGGGGAGGAAGGAGAAGAAGAGAAGAAGAAGAAAGGAAGGAGGAGGAAGAGGAGAAGGGAAAGAAGUAGCUGCGGCUGCGGCUGUUGCAGCUGCAGUUGUGGCAGGGAAAGAGGAAGAGGAAGGAAGAAGGGAAGGGGAGGAAGAAGGGGCUGCGGCUGCUGCGAUGGCAGCUGCAGUUGGAAGAGAAGAAGGAGAGGAAGAUGGCAGGGGAGGAAGAACAGGUUGUGGCCGCGGCUGAGGCUCCGACUGCAACCGUGCAGCUGGGAAAGAAGAGAAGGAAAGGAAGAAGAAGAGAAAGGGGAGGAGAGGAAGAAGAGAGGAAGAGGAGAAGGGGUGGCAGCUGCGGCAGUGGCAGCUGCAGUUGGAAGAGAAGAAGGAGAGGAAAUAGAGUAGCGGAGGAAGAAGAGGCUGCGGUUGUGGUGGCUGCGGCCAUGGUUGCGACUGCGAAAGAAAAGAAAGGGGGAAAAAGGGGCUGCGGACGGGAUUACGGCCGCAGCGGCAGCGACUGCGUAUGUAGCAGUUAUUGUCUGCGAGAGAAGAGGAGGAAGGAAGGUAGUGCGGUGGAAGGGGCUGCGAUUGUGGCAGCGGUAGCGACGGCGGUUGUGGCAGCUACAUUUGGGAAAGAAAAAGAAGGAAUGAGAGUAAGAGAGAGCAGGUGACUGUGCCUCGAUGUUCGACACGUGGUGUAGUUGCGAAGAAAGGAAGAAAACGGGAGCACAAAACGAAACAGAGAGAGGACACGGAGGAAAAGUAGAAGGAUUUGGGCUAGCACCUUCUUUGGAUCUUCAGAUCGGAAUCUUUGAAAGGCAAGUUCCCUGAUCGUUUCUCCUAUAAUUGCUUUGAUAUUUCUUAUUGCAAGUUCCCGAUUCGUUCCUCCUGUAAUUGUUCUAAUCUUUCCUAUUGCAAGUAUCCUGAUCUUUCCUUACUGUAAUUUGAUCUCUACAUUUGAUUUGAAUAUGUGGAACUUGAAUUGUUCUAGCCUUGCAUUUGAUAUAUCUCUUGUUUAGAGAUAUCGAUCCGAAUCUAUGCAACUUCUGAUAUUCUGACCCUUCUACUUUGUUAUGGCUAUAACAUCAUGUAUUGACCUCUGAUUUGGACGAAACUUAUUUGAUCAGAAUAUAGACUCAUAAACCUUUGUUUUGAUAGCUUAUUUUAAGAAUUCGGAGUAAGUUUGUCUACCCAAACUUCUGUUUCAAAGGAGCCUACAGAUUCUGCAAAACAGGGAUCGUAAUUUCUGACAUUUUGAUACUGAACUGCUUAUAAGUCCCUGUUGCAAACAUUGAUUUACUCAAAGCUUAUUUCAUUGGAAACCAGACUCAUAGAUCUUUCUUUUGAUAUAUGGAUUGAAAGAUUUAGAAUCCAAACACCUGCAUAGUUAUCUGUUGAAUCUGACAUUAUGAAUUCUGCCAAACAGAUAUUUUGUUCUACGACCCUUGUUUACCAAAUUAUUUGUAACUCUCUCUAUUGGACAGUUCAAUUCAUAAAAAGCCUGUCUUAUCUGAAAGUAUAAUCCAAUGAUUUAUUUCUGAGUCAAUUGGAGCACGAUUGAUAGUUUGAAUCAUUUGUUCAAUGUGCCUCUUGUAUUCCGCCAGAAAUCGAGCUUUGGUCGAUUUCUAAUAUUCUGGUUUCAUUCCCUUGGAAAUUGAUAUCCCUUGGCCUUCUUAUUCAAUUGAGCUUUAUAGUACUGCUCUGAAUUAUUGUAUGCUCUUGUCCUUAAAGUUAUUUGCAUUCUUGAAAACUAUUGUGUACCGUUUAAGCUAUAUCGUAUUGACUUCUAUAAGCACAUGUUUAACCCAUGAUUCCGCAUUUGCUUUCGAUGUGUGCCUAUUCUAGUUUCAUUUCCUUUGGAUAUUUGAAUUUGUCUAACCUUCUUAUUGGAAUUGAGCUAAAUAUAAUUGCUUGGAAUCCUUGUACACUCUUGUUUUCAUUUCAUUCCAAAUCUGAAUACAUUUGUGAGAGAUUUGUUCUUUGUUUCGUAUUGUCUCGAAAAGGCACAUGUAAGCUUUGUUGUUCCGCGUGUGCUUCCGAUAUAUGCUACUUAUUGUUGAAACUGCCCUUUUGUACUCUGGUGUGUGGGAUUGUCUGGACCUUUGUCAGAAAUGGUAAAGGGUAUGCGCUAUUUGCCCGCUAUGUAGGGUCCCGUUAUGUGGGAUAUUCUGGACCUUUGCCAGAAAUGGUAAAGGGUAUGCGCUUGUUGCCCGUUAUGUGGGUAUGUGAUUAGAGCAUGCGAUGCUCUGCCGGCCCCCUUUGACUUCACCUAGACGUGGUUGGAUGGAGCUCCUAGACGUGGGAUACUUUUGUCAGGUGGUCAUUCAGAAAUGGAUGUAUCACAUUCUGACUGAGAUCCCACUACACCUUCUGUAUGUUUGAUAUGAUAUCCAGUGCUUUGGUUAUGUGUUUCUGUACAUGCUUUGGAUAAGAUUGAUAUGUUUGCAACGUCAAAGACGACGUUUGAGCUUCUGUACGGUAUUUGUUAUUGAUAUGCUCUGAAAUAUUUCAUCCACUGUUGAUAUGUUUCGAAAUAUUCCAUAUGUCGUUGAUAUGCUCCGGAACAUUUCAUACGCCAUUGAUAUGCUCCAAUUACUCUGUGCUCCAUUUGCUAUGAACUGAUAUGUUCUGAAUUGUCCUAGCUGCCAUUGAUAUGCUCCAAUUACUCUAUGCUCCAUUUGUUAUGAAUCAAAUAUGUUUUGAAUGACAUGAUACAUAUGAUUUUGUAUCUAAUGAGAUGGUAUCCUUGAGAAUUCUUGUAUUCUGCCUUAUAUUAUGAUACCUUACUCGUUUGAAACCGUUCCUUUUGUUCUGAAUAUGUUUUGUCACUUGUUGAGCCGUUUUUGGCUCACUCCGGUGUUAUAUAAAUCUUUCAAGUCAGCGUGUCACUCUUCGAGAUGUUUGAUUUGGGUUGAGGCAGUGGAUAGCUAUUCAGAAUUAUGGGCAAGUCUUGUUGGUUGUUAUGUUAUUGUUGUAUAAGCAUAUUUUGUAUGUAAUGAAAUGUUGUUGAUGAAUCGAAAUGGAUAUACUGUGUAAAAGUGUUAGAAGAUCUCUCUUAUUUGGAAUUUCGAAAUGUUAAGCCUAAUUUAUGAUGAUAUGAACUUGUGGUGAAUAAUUGGAGUUCUGAUUGUAUAAUUUAUUUAGCUUGUGGAUUUAUAAAUGUUGUUCAUGUUUGUCAAGUUGGCUUGGGUUGCCAUAAAUGUGAAUUAUCGAGUGAUGUGAUAUAUGAUUUUAAAAUGCACAGGUUUUAUGGAUGUGAAUUUGAUUGAAUGUUUUUCAGUGUCCUCAAACGUUAGUUUGGAUCCUGGAUUGGUCUGUGAUGAAAAUUUUAAAAAUUAUGGAUAUUUUGAGGGGCGUGACAGAGGUGGUAUCAGAGCCAGGUUUGAGGAUUACUGAAAUAUUUGAUAUGUUGAUGUGCAAAAUAUAUUGAGGUCUAAUGAACUUUAGUGAUUGGUGGAAAAUUUUCUUUGAUGCAUUUUAGGAAUCUGGGAUGAUGAGGACAUUUGGUCCUCCUAUUUCAUUUUGUUUCUGAUUAAUUAAGGGGAAUGAAAGGAUGGAUUGGGGAUAUUGAAUCAAAGUGGCGCAGCAGAAGCAUGAUGAACCUAAUUUCAUUGGUGGUAGAAAAAUGGAUGAUGCAAAUGGAGAAGAUAUUUUAUAUACAAAAUUGUUCUAAUGAUCAAAAGAUUUCUUUUGCUACCUUAUAUUGGAAGUAAAGGCUGCUUAUUAUUGGCAGCAAUGAAAAGAAUUUUUGGAGAUAUGUGGCAAGAAUGAUAAGGAUAAGUUUAGCAAUAAAAAUAUGAUUGGAAAUGAAUCAGAAAGUAAUACCAAGAGGGUCAAGACAUUUGGAUUUGAAAUGGGAAGUCACCACAAAAGACUCAAUCAGGUGUGAAUUGCAAGUUAAAUUAUGAAACAAGUUUAUGUUUGUGCGUGACUAGAGCCUAUUUUGCUUGUGGAAAGUUUGAUCAUAAAAUAAAAGUUUGCCCGUUGAACAUGAAGAAAGAGUCACUGCCUCUUAAAUCAUCUGCCCAUGUCAGAGUGUAUGCUAUCACUGAAUAUGAUUCUGAAACUUCUGAAAUUAGUGACCGAAGGUAUUAUGCAUGUUUAUGAAAGAAUGCAAAUAUUUGUUCGACCAUGGGUCCAAUCUACGAUUUGAUUCGUAAUAUUUUGCUUAUCACUUGGGCAUUCAACCUAGACCACUGCAUUAUGUGCUAUAUGUAAAUACGAUCAUUAGAGAUUCUUUGAUAACAGACUUGAAUUUGGUCCUCUUGUCUGAUUUUUAUUGGGGAACUUGAACUUUUUGCUGAUUUAGUUCUCCUAAGGAUUUGGAGUUUUGAUAUUAUACUUGGUAUGGAUUGACUAUCUUCCUAUCAUACCAGUAUGGAUUGGUAUAUAACAAAUGAUCACUUUUUGUACAUUUGAUCAGCCGAUCUUUUAUUUUGAAAGUAUUGGACAUGAUUUAUCUCCUUGCCUAAUGUAUCCCAGAAUGACUUGCUUGGAUUACCUCCAAACGUGACUUUGCUUUUGAUUUGGCCUUUAGGAUAAUCUCAAUAUCUAAGCCUCUCUACAGAAUGAUAUCAGUAAGUGGAAUUAGAAAAACAACUACAAGGAUUAUUAAAUGAGGAUUUUAUUUGGUUUAAUAUUUUAUCAUGGGGUGCUCUAGGGUUAGUUAAAAAGAUGGAUGGAAUAUUGAGGCUUCGUAUUGAUUAUAGACAAUUGAAUCAGGUGACCAUAAAAAAUGAGUAAUUUCUGAAGUAACGACUUGCUUGAUUAACUGCAGGGUGCGCAAGUAUUUUUAGAAAUUGAUUGAAGGUCGGGUUACCGUCUAUUGAGGAUCAAGGAGGAGAAUAUUUUGGUCACUCGUGGAUAAUUAUGUAAUUGUAUUGUAUUGAUGAAACUAUUUAAGAGCACGAGGAGGAAAUAAAGAUAUCAUAAUCCUCAUCUUUUCAUCGAUUGCGCUAUGAUCAAUUUAGAGGACUAAAUUUUCUUUUAAGGAGGGGAGAGUGUAAUAUCCCUCACUUUUGAAAAUUAUUAAUAAAGAUUUAUUUAUAAAUCGGAGGACCUAUAUGUAAAUAUGGAAAUUUCAAGGACUAAACUGUUAAGUUGUAAAAAGAAGAAAAUAAAGAAAACCGAAAAUUUCGGUUUUAUCCCACCGCCUCCCACACACUCUCUGUUUCUUCGAGAGGAGCGGUGGGGCGUGAGGAGAGAAGAAAGAAGAAGAAGAGGGAAAAGAAGAGAGGAGGAAGAGGGAGAAGAGAAGAAAAGACGAAGAAGAAGAAGAGAGGGAAGGUGGAGAGGAGAGGGAGAGGCAGCAGCAGCAGCUAGGGCUGCUGCACCUCUGUUUCCCGCAGGUGGAAACAGAGGAGAGUAUGUGUGGGACGUUGGGGAGGAGAGGAGAAGAGAAGAAGAAGAAGAAGAAGAAGAAGAAGAAGGAGAAGAAGAAGAAGAAGAAGAAGAAGAAGAGAGGAGGAUAACUGCAGCAGGGCUGCAGCGAGGAGGUGUGUGGCGUUGGGGAGGAAAAGGGAAGAGGAGAAGAAGAGAAGGAGAAGAAGAGGGAAAAGAGAGGGAAGAGGGAGAGGAGCGAGAGGUGGCAGCAGCUAGGGCUACAGCACCUCUGUUUCAUGCAGGUGGAAACAGAGGUGAGGUGUAGGGCGUUCGAAGAGGAGGGGAAGGAGAAGAGGAAGAGAAGAAGAAGAGGAAGCAGGAGAAGAGGUUGUGAUACCUCUGUUUCCUGCAGAGGAAACAGAGGAGAGGGUGUGUGUGACGCCGGGGAGGAGGAGGGAAGAAGAAGAGGAGAAGAAGAGAAGGGGAAGGAGGAGCUGCGGCUGCGGCGGUGGAAGCUGCAGCUGGAAGAGAAGGAGAGGAAGAGAUGGUGAGGAAGAAGAGAAGAAGUAGAAGCGGGUGAAGAGAUGGCACCUCUGUUUCCUGCAGGAGGAAACAGAGGAAAAGAGGUGCUGUUCAUCGGGGAGAAGAAGGGGAGGAAGGAGAAGAAGAGAAGAAGAAGAAAGGAAGGAGGAGGAAGAGGAGAAGGGAAAGAAGUAGCUGCGGCUGCGGCUGUGGCAGCUGCAGUUGUGGCAGGGAAAGAGGAAGAGGAAGGAAGAAGGGAAGGGGAGGAAGAAGGGGCUGCGGCUGCUGCGAUGGCAGCUGCAGUUGGAAGAGAAGAAGGAGAGGAAGAUGAGCAGGGGAGGAAGAACAGGUUGUGGCCGCGGCUGAGGCUGCGACUGCAACCGUGCAGCUGGGAAAGAAGAGAAGGAAAGGAAGAAGAAGAGAAAGGGGAGGAGAGGAAGAAGAGAGGAAGAGGAGAAGGGGUGGCAGCUGCGGUAGUGGCAGCUGCAGUAGGAAGAGAAGAAGGAGAGGAAAUAGAGUAGCGGAGGAAGAAGAGGCUGCGGUUGUGGUGGCUGCGGCCAUGGUUGCGACUGCGACUGCGACUGCGGCAGUUGCAGCUGGGAAAGAAAAGAAAGGGGGAAAAAGGGGCUGCGGACGGGAUUGCGGCCGCAGCGGCAGCGACUGCGUAUGCAGCAGUUAUUGUCUGCGAGAGAAGAGGAGGAAGGAAGGUAGUGCGGUGGAAGGGGCUGCGAUUGUGGCAGCGGUAGCGGCGGCGGCUGUGGCAGCUACGUUUGGGAAAGAAAAAGAAGGAAUGAGAGUAAGAGAGAGCAGGUGACUGUGCCUCGAUGUUCGACACGUGGUGUAGUUGCGAAGAAAGGAAGAAAACGGGAGCACAAAACGAAACAAAGAGAGGACACGGAGGAAAAGUAGAAGGAUUUGGGCUAGCACCUUCUUUGGAUCUUCGGAUCGGAAUCUUUGAAAGGUCAGCGUGUCACUCUUCGAGAUGUUUGAUUUGGGUUGAGGCAGUGGAUAGCUAUUCAGAAUUAUGGGCAAGUCUUGUUGGUUGUUAUGUUAUUGUUGUAUAAGCAUAUUUUGUAUGUAAUGAAAUGUUGUUGAUGAAUCGAAAUGGAUAUACUGUGUAAAAGUGUUAGAAGAUCUCUCUUAUUUGGAAUUUCGAAAUGUUAAGCCUAAUUUAUGAUGAUAUGAACUUGUGGUGAAUAGUUGGAGUUCUGAUUGUAUAAUUUA